rnacentral:rRNA from 1 species
UACGUAGGGGGGCUAGCGUUGUCCGGAAUCAUUGGGCGUAAAGAGCGCGUAGGCGGCCAGAUAAGUCCGGUGUGAAAGUCACAGGCUCAACCUGUGAAUGCCGCUGGAAACUGUCUGGCUAGAGUCCGGAAGAGGCGAGUGGAACUCCUGGUGUAGCGGUGGAAUGCGCAGAUAUCAGGAAGAACACCGACGGCGAAGGCAGCUCGCUGGGACGGUACUGACGCUGAGGCGCGAAAGCGUGGGGAGCAAACAGG